UGGGACUUUAAGAGAAAUUCCACAUCAAUUAUAUUUUAUGCUAAUAAAAAGAGGAGGUGUGGAUUUCAAUUAUAGGGGUGCACAAGGAAUGAGCACGGUUAUUUUGGAAGAAAUGGACUCAAGAGACAAAAAAAAAAAAGGGUACUUCAAUUAGGAAUAAGCAUGUGUCACGGCAUGGAUUUGUUUUUUAAGCGGAGUGCAGCACGGACACAUCAUUUUAUAAAGCUAGGAGGAAUUAAAAGGCUGGUGGGCUUGCUUAAAAAGAGGUACGUGGGACGUCCAAAAGAAAAAGCCACCGAGAAAAGCGAGAAAGUGUGCAGCAAUGUAUAAGUCUGCAAGCACGUGAUGGUCUAAAAUGCAAACAACUUCUUGGGCUUGAAGGGAGGUGCGUCCAGCAACUUUUUGGGAGCUAACGGCCUGCAUCCAAUGAUUGAAUAUGCAGUGUUGGAGAGCACCACCAACACGGCCAGCAGUGUUGGAUUCACUUGGCUGCAAAGAGCUGCAAGUCUAAUCUUCACACGGUCCAGCCUUCAUCACACACCACGCUGCAACACACUUGGAAGCACCAUGGCCCAACAUGUUUCUUCAUCAGCAAAGCCCGUGAGGAAUGGCUUCAUUCAGUGUCCAGCAGCUUGUGAACGGAUUAGGCAGCAACAAAUGGAUAAGCACGAAGGUAACAGGGCCACUUCCUGAAGGAGCUUCCAGCACGUGAAUUCAUCCAUCCAACACACGUUCAGUUGCCACCCAAGCAAGAAAAAAGAAGCGGUCCAACAUCUUCACGUCCAAGAGCAUCACGCGAUCCAUUCAGCAAGAAAAUCCAGCAGAAGUAGUCUCGGCCUAGCCCAGCAACAACAAGCGGUCUAGCAACUUCAAGAGAAAGCUCCACGGACCCAACUCUACACGGGCAGCAGCUUGGAGCUCCACGUUAGCAGGAAUAUUAUCCUUCAUACAGCCCAUUCAUCAUCUUCGGUCCAACAGGCUCACAAAGUCCCGCAAAGGUCCAACAUGCUGUCAAUGAGGAGCGUUACUGCGUCGGUCUACCACGUGAAAAGCUGCAGCCCAUGAUGCCAUCAUCCAACAUGUCCAGCUGCUUUACACGGUGCAGAAGAGUAUGUUGCGGUGCACACAACAACAAAUUAAAGGGCCCAGCAGCAUAUGGAUGCAGCCCUUGCACACGGACAUCAAGUAGCAACACGCACGUCAUGGAGGUCUGUAUCCAGCAGUUUUGAAGAAAAGUAGGUGUCACAGCCUGGACACACUCCAACAACUUGAGUGAUUAAAUUGAUGGGAGGAAAUCGGAGACCCACGGCCCAAUGAGCUGCAGCCCACAUCUUUUCCUACAAUAGUACACGGCUGCAGAUAGCUG
rnacentral:lncRNA from 1 species